AUCUUUUGGCGGAUGAUAAUGAUCUAUCUGAAUAAUGUGAUGCAAAUGAUUAUAUCCUAUGUUAUCAACUCUUAUUUUAUUUAAUACUAUAUCAAUCAUUGAGAUUUACUUUUAUAUAUUUUUUUAUUUCUUUAUUUUGUAUGUAAGCAAAAAAAGAAUUUUGUAGCUUUACUGCUCCAACCCCUCCCAUCUAUCUCCACCCAUCUUGCUCAAGGUAAGUAUGAGUUGGAUAUGGCUAUAUGGUUUCUCAUUGCGGAUGGCUAGGAUUAAUGACCUAUCCUAUCUCUACAUGCCUAAUUAUCAUUAUUAUCAUAUUAAAAAAAAGAAAUAAAUGUUGCAUAUGGCUACUUGCAAAUAUUUCAUAAUAUUUACUUGUUUUUUAGUGCCGUGGAUCCACAUGACUUUGCUGCUGCCC
rnacentral:lncRNA from 1 species